rnacentral:rRNA from 1 species
UACGAAGGGUGGCAGGCGUUACUCGGAAUUACUGGGCGUAAAGCGUGCGUAGGUGGUGAGUUAAGUCUGUCGUGAAAGCCCCGGGCUCAACCCUGGGAACUGCAUUUGUGACUGCACAGCGUGGAGUGCGGCAGAGGGGGAUGGAAUUCCGCGUGUAAGCAGUGAAAUGCGUAGAUAUGGACGGAGACACGAUGGCGAAG